CGCAUGUUGAGUCCUAACCCCUAGAACCUCAGAGUGUGACUCUAUCUGAAGGUAGGGCCCAGAGAGAUUUUACUGAGCAUCCUGGAUUUUUAUUUGCUACCCUACCAGCGUCGUGGGGAGUCCAGGGCACUCCGCAUAAAGACACUUUGAGAGAAUUUUCCUCCACAUCCUUCAGGAAAUCUGGACCAAAAGCUGGCCAGAGGCAGGAGCACCCCACAUCCCUCAGCCCUGAGCAGAAGCAGGCUUCCCAGGCCCACCUUGUCCUAACCCUGGUACCCACGAUAGCACCAGAGACUGCAAUCUCCAAGGUUAGGAAGAGUUUGCAUUAUAAAAUAAUGGGUGUGGGAACCUCCUCUCUCCCCUCCACCUGGAUUUUAAAGAAGUGAUAGCAGAUUUGGACACAGCCCAUGGCACCCACAAAUCCAAAAAAGAGGUAGGAUACCAUAAUUAAGAGCAUGAGCUUUGGGGUCAUAUAGACCUGUG
rnacentral:lncRNA from 1 species